AGUAUCAAGCUUCUUCAUUUCAGGAGUCAUUGAGGGAGGAACAAGAGAAAAGUAAAGGAGUUGUAAAAGACUCUGACAGUGAUUCUAAUUCCUCAUUAACUUCUAAAAGGAGAAAGUUUAAAACCAUCAAAUUUGGGACCAAUGUUGAUCUUUCUGAUGAGAAGAAAUGGAGAGUACAACUGCAUGAGCUGACCAAGCUACCAUCCUUUGCUCGAGUUG
rnacentral:sRNA from 1 species